UGCAAGUCGAACGAUGAAGCCCUUCGGGGUGGAUUAGUGGCGAACGGGUGAGUAACACGUGGGCAAUCUGCCCUUCACUCUGGGACAAGCCCUGGAAACGGGGUCUAAUACCGGAUAAUACUCCUACUCGCAUGGGUGGGGGUUGAAAGCUCCGGCGGUGAAGGAUGAGCCCGCGGCCUAUCAGCUUGUUGGUGAGGUAGAAGCUCACCAAGGCGACGACGGGUAGCCGGCCUGAGAGGGCGACCGGCCACACUGGGACUGAGACACGGCCCAGACUCCUACGGGAGGCAGCAGUGGGGAAUAUUGCACAAUGGGCGAAAGCCUGAUGCAGCGACGCCGCGUGAGGGAUGACGGCCUUCGGGUUGUAAACCUCUUUCAGCAGGGAAGAAGCGAAAGUGACGGUACCUGCAGAAGAAGCGCCGGCUAACUACGUGCCAGCAGCCGCGGUAAUACGUAGGGCGCAAGCGUUGUCCGGAAUUAUUGGGCGUAAAGAGCUCGUAGGCGGUCUGUCGCGUCGGAUGUGAAAGCCCGGGGCUUAACCCCGGGUCUGCAUUCGAUACGGGCAGACUAGAGUGUGGUAGGGGAGAUCGGAAUUCCUGGUGUAGCGGUGAAAUGCGCAGAUAUCAGGAGGAACACCGGUGGCGAAGGCGGAUCUCUGGGCCAUUACUGACGCUGAGGAGCGAAAGCGUGGGGAGCGAACAGGAUUAGAUACCCUGGUAGUCCACGCCGUAAACGGUGGGAACUAGGUGUUGGCGACAUUCCACGUCGUCGGUGCCGCAGCUAACGCAUUA
rnacentral:rRNA from 1 species